rnacentral:rRNA from 1 species
CCUACGGGAGGCAGCAGUGGGGAAUUUUGGACAAUGGGCGAAAGCCUGAUCCAGCAAUGCCGCGUGAGUGAAGAAGGCCUUCGGGUUGUAAAGCUCUUUUGUCAGGGAAGAAACGGUGUGGGCUAAUAUCCCGCACUAAUGACGGUACCUGAAGAAUAAGCACCGGCUAACUACGUGCCAGCAGCCGCGGUAAUACGUAGGGUGCAAGCGUUAAUCGGAAUUACUGGGCGUAAAGCGUGCGCAGGCGGUUUUGUAAGUUUGUCGUGAAAGCCCCGGGCUCAACCUGGGAAUUGCGAUGAAGACUGCAAGGCUUGAAUCUGGCAGAGGGGGGUAGAAUUCCACGUGUAGCAGUGAAAUGCGUAGAGAUGUGGAGGAACACCGAUGGCGAAGGCAGCCCCCUGGGUCAAGAUUGACGCUCAUGCACGAAAGCGUGGGGAGCAAACAGGAUUAGAUACCCUGGUAGUCCACGCCCUAAACGAUGUCUACUAGUUGUCGGGUUUUAAUUAACUUGGUUAACGCAGCUAACGCGUGAAGUAGACCGCCUGGGGAGUACGGUCGCAAGAUUAAAACUCAAAGGAAUUGACCGGNGUGAGAGAGCGAGACGACGACGAGGAGAGG